GUACCAGCUGCCAAGAGCCUGGAUCCAGGACAAGUCUCCUUCCUGUUUCUGUAGAUCACUGUCAGGUUUGCUGACUCUUUGGGGAUCUGGAAGGCACCUCUGAAUUGCAACAAGAGCUCACGAUCCCCUCUGCCACCGGAGAAGAGCCACGAGCUCCCGAGUGCAGCGAAUUCCCAGUCC